AAUUCGACCCCUUGCCUGGGAACCUCCAUGUGCCAUGGAUGUGGCCCUAAAAAGACACACACACAAAAGUUAUUGACACACUACGUCUUUUGGCGCCAAGUCUCUGAAAUCCGGUUGUAUCCUGUGUCGACGGCACAGCUCACCUCGGAUGAGCCGCCUUUCCCGCAGUCGAGAGGACACCCGCCGAGCCAGAGCCCCGUCAGGCGGCACAGUCUCGGGCCCUCCUUCCACACGCUUUUAUGUGAUCCUGCAGCAGGGCACCCACCCCAGCGGCGAUUAAGUUAUUUUAGGCCCAGUAAUGAGUUUUGCAUCUGUCCCCCUCCCCCACUACGCAGAGUGCUCUGAGGGCAAAGCUUACACAUUGGCAGCUCCUUUUCUCCUGUCCUGUCCAGCCUAGUGCCUGCCACACAGGAGGCGUACAAAACUACUGGCUACACUUCCUCCACGCCCGGCUCUCCCGCCAGGGCGAACGUCCCUCAGCCUAUUAUAACCAAAUGCUUGACGUGCAGCAGACGGAACGUCUGGAGGGCCGAUGGGCAAAGGCGCUUGUCUGACUCCUGGCGCUUCUUUCCACGUGGGUUGCUCUCCUUCACCGGCUGGGCCGCGGGCAAGCGGGCUCAUCUGACCGGUCAACGUGGGCAGAGCGAUGCUAGCACCCGGGGUCCCAGCCUGGCUCUUUUCCCCUUGGAGUGAGCGCCUCUGUUUUGCUCUCCAGGGUCUGCCCACUCCCCACCCCAACCGCGGGUGGGGGUCCAGAGCGGCCGCUGCCGAGGGGGCAUGUUUGCUGCUCGCCAGGGACAAGCCACAGCCUCCAGCUGUGCUUUCAAGAUACGUGUUUUGGCUUCUCUCUGCCCGAUCCCGUCAUUUCCCAAGUGGUUCAGAAGGCGGGCAAUCUCCUCCUUGUACUGGCGAGGACCCUACCACGGAGCAGGGAGCGGAAAUAAGCUCCCCAAAGCACAGACUAUACAGUGAGGGUCCCGCCGGGGCCCCAGCUCCCAGUCUGGAGUGCCGGGGGCUCAGGCUCCAGCUCAUGAGAAAAAUGCACGUCUCGACGCUGGAUGCGCCUCUGUAGGCAAAGACCUCCCCGAAGAAUCAAAGAGAGGGCAGUCUUUACAGCGCUGGGGAUGAGACCCCGGGGUUCCAUUUUUAAUCUCCGCGACGUCCCAGAGGGGCAGGGAGAACGUUCCAGCUGCAGGCGCGACCUCUGGAUUUAUAGGUUUGCGAGGGAGCUGUGUCCCAGUCCCCUCCUGCGAGAGGAUGCUCCUCGGAGGCCGGCUGCGGGGAGGGGUGGGAGCUGGGAGGCGGAGCGGCGGCCUGGACUGUGAGAAACAGGAAGAGUCCUUCGGGCUCCAUUAAGAGCCCCGGCUGUCUUUCCCAGCAACAGAAACUCUCCGUGGGCCCCAUAAUUCACGCCACAGGGCCGAGCCUGCAGUCAGCGCUGAGAAGCUGCGUUCGGGGUCCUUGGAAAAUAUGACGGGGUGCCACCCCGUAGAUGGCGCUGACAAGUGACACGAGAGCUGAUGCUGGAUCGGGGAACAUGGUGGCUACUGAUGAGUUUCUGCAUGGCUCCCGGGACACCAACCCACAAAGAUUCCUCCUCCAGAAGGCUUUCCGGUUGUGCAACACGUGAUCAGAGACGCAGCCUAUGAGUGGCCUGGCAACUGGGACGCAUGGAUCCCAUCCGUGGCGUGGCUGCUGCGUAUCUGGCAGGUGACCCUCAGGGGCCCUAUGCCCCCUGCACUGUUUCUGCCCCGGUCAUAAAGGGGAGCUGGCCCAGUGCUGGCUGAGGGCUGCUCGAUGCCAUGGCCUUGGAUGUCUGCAUUGGCACGCAGAGGGCUGCCCGCAUAUAUGCCGCCUGACCACAGACCUCCCUGUAGAGGGGCUUCAACCGGCCUGGUUUCUGUCUACAGCCUGAGCCACAGAGCUGUGACCACUCUACUUUCUUUGCUGAGAGCCAUCUGGGUUCCCCACGGGUGGCUCAGAGGGGUUAGAGGGUGGCUUCCUUUGCGGGCGGCACCUGAGCAGGAUGGACCCGCUGCUUCUGGCCACCGCCUUUAAUGACCCUCAGUGCACUUAUCAAGAAGGACGGUGGCUACGAAGACCAGGACCCCUUCAUGGCACCGUUAGCGGGAGUUUUCGGCUCACAGUUCUCGGGCACGAGGGGAGGCCUGUGUGCCCUGGACGGUGGCUGAAGCUGACAGCCACCCUGGCCAGGCGACCCAGCUUGUCCAGCGGCUCCUUCCCCAAGACCCGCUGUGAGCACUGGAUGAAUUCAGCUGCGUUUGGGAUUUGCCAACCAUCUCACACUGUUUUGAAAAUGCUUGGGGUUUGAUAAAACCGAAAAAGAUAUUUGCCAAGCAUCAUUCCCCUUCAUUUUUUAAACCCAUGUGGAUUUUAAGGGGAAUUUAAUCCAUAUGUUUCUGAUUCAUUUGCUCUUAACUCAUCAAAACCUUGUUUCAAAAGAGCUAUUUGAUGUCCAAGGAGCUUUUGGAGUUGGGUUUUCAAUCUUUUAAAAUCUCCCUUUCCUGGCUUUGAAAUGAGAUGUUGCUGUUUGCCAAGCAUAAAUGAGCUCCCUAGCUGAAACGAGGUCCAUGUUUGCUUCACAAUUAGAGAGCUGUGAGCUCUCAGUGGGCUGUGAAAUGGGCAAAACCUGUGUCCUUUGAAGACCCCCUCCCCCCAGUCCAGGACCAGGGACCCACCUCCUCUGCGUCCAGGAGCCACGGGCUGAGGGCGGGGUCCUCUUUCUUUAACACCUUGAUUCUGCCCCGAGGCGGGCAGCCUGGGAGACGUCUUAGGACGGCAGCUGCAUACCUUUCACGGGACUGUAACCUAGGAGGGACUUCCUCGAUGUUCACAGAGUCUGGUUCACUUGAACUUUUUAUAAUGAAGUGUUUUCAACACACACACGAGCACAGACUGUCCUCAGGGACGACUCGCCAGCUUCAGCGACGAGCAGCUCAAGCUCGGCCUCGACUUGGAGACGCGUCCUGGGCCGUCCAUCACUGCAUUCUUCAGGGUUUCGGUCGGUAUCUCUGCAACACAAGGAAAGGCCCUGUCAAAGUCUGCAGCACUCGGAUCAUGAACUGGCAAUGCAGUCCUCAACGUCAUAAAAAUCCUGAUUAAUUCCCCACUGUGUUCUCAUCAUUUUAAACAGGUGGGCUCUUUGAGUCAGGAGCGAAACGAGGCCAUACCCUGCAGGUGGUGGCUGUAUCUCGUCGGAGGCAUUUCCCACGUUUUGGAUUUUCUUGAUUAUGUUCUUGUAUGUAACAAAUUUCUUUUUCCCCUACGAAAUGCAAAUUCUUAAGGUUUGCAUAUUUUUACAAGGCUUCAUGGAAUCAAUUCUGGUAGAAUAAUUUAUUUUACGUCUGAAA